UUCUCUAAGCCAUGCCGUAUGAGAUGUGGCAUUGUUAAGGAAGUCCGGCCCAUGUCAAGUAUUAGCAUAUGGACCAAGUUAAAGGUUAGAUCUAUGAGAUUUAUUUAAAAGUAUCCUAAAGAGUUUUAAGAAUACUAAUUACUUCCUAAGGAUCACUAUGUGAUUGUGGCCCGAUAUGCUAUGUUCUUAGAGAAAUAAUUUAUCCA
rnacentral:lncRNA from 1 species